UUGAGCACCAAUGCCUCCCCACCAGUUGAAAAGUUAGCAGUUUUGCUUUCCACCUUCAAUACUUGAUUGAACGUCCAUUCCAUAUCACACCACGCCAAAACUUUUCCUCCUUCAUUUCAUCAUCAGUCAUCAACGGUGCACGAUUGGAGCAGCAGCGUCUCUUCUUGGAGUCUGGGUGCCACAAUUCCGUGUGAACCUUACUUUUCCAACUAUUUAGCCUGCAAAAAAAUGCAUUCUGUUCACGUCUACCUCGUCGGAUUUGGCUGCUGUGUGGUCGGAAUCUUAUUCAUCCUCCCCACCUCCACCCACGCCGCGCUCGAUUGCUACGUCUGUCGCGACUGCGAAACCACCUUUAACGCGUCCCACGUCGUCACAUGUUCGAAAAGCACGGCGCGUUGUGUCAAAAUAGUGAACGAGAACGGCGUGAAUGACCGGACUUGUGGCGACGCGAAUAAAGGGACGGGGUGCGGGGUGCAGGUUGGUACAUAUUUAUGUGCAUAAAGUAUUAUUGGGUAGAUACAAUUUCCUUCUUCAUGAUUCAUCACCAAAAUCGUUAAAAUUAACACAUUUUUAAUCAUUUCUCCGCUCUGGGUAUUUACUUAAGUUCUAGACGACAAAUGUAUAGUCAGAGUUGAGUAAUAGAAUGGUGGUCAGGUUUUUAAGCCAGCUUCGAUGAGUUACUAUUUUUCUGAAGACUUCUUAAACUUGAGAUCUCCUCCCCCAAAAAAUGUCUAAAUCUGGAGUGUAUAUAUUUUUUUUAAUUGGCAACGACCUGCUCCACAAAUUGGUUGUCCAGAAUUUUUAAAUAAAUUCCCACAGAGAAAAAAUGAUUUAAAUGUUCUGAUUUUGCCGAUGAGGCGUCGAGUCAUACGGUAGUAUUAUGUAUAUGUGUUUAAGUGCUUAUAUAACUGGGAGACAGACGAUCAAGUUAACAUUUAAUUAUUAAACUUUAUUAUACUUCCAGUGCAAAUGUUUCUUUAUAUGAGGAGCAGAUUCCUUACAAAAGUGUUUCAUUAUUAAUACCAUUUUUUUAGCUUCUUAUGACACCAAAUUAUUUUAAGUAAGUUAAUU